UUGGGGAGGUUGCUGCUGGGAGAUAAUUUUUAGGUCCAGGAAGCGCUCGGAAGCAGUCAAUAUAGCAGUAAGCAUCUUCCAGCACCCUGUUAUGGAGAGAAGAGUAUUGGGGUUUAUGGUGAGAACUGUAUCGCAUUGUGGAGCACUAACCAGUUUUUACUGCGGAAGACGACAAGCUUCAUUCUGUGUGUGAUGGGCGGUUGGGAACCAUACCCUUCAAUAUGAAAACUUGCCAGCUUCUAAGUGUUCCACACAGAGGUCAGCACCUUCACUGUCUCCAGCUCAAUCUCUAGGUACACCUACCUAUAUAUGCAAAAAUCAAUUGAGUGAAACCACUAGUUUGAUUAUCCAUUAGAUGCAUUCUUGAUCAAACAUUAGAGCAGUAGUACCCGUGUGAUUUACAAUAUGGGUAUUUUUACUGGAUGCUGUAAAAAUAACAGUUUGCUUUUGUUCACGUCAAUGACCAUGAUAACACAUUAAUGGCUAUAAAAGAAAUAAUGAAAUUAGCUGAACAAACGCGAGUUAUCAACAACCUAUGGCAUAACUAGCAAAACCAUCAG